CGCGUAGGCGGCGGACCAAGUUGCGUGUGAAAGCCCCGGGCUCAACCUGGGAGGUGCGCGCGAGACUGGUUUGCUGGAGUUCGGGAGAGGAGCGUGGAAUUCCCAGUGUAGAGGUGAAAUUCGUAGAUAUUGGGAAGAACACCGGUGGCGAAGGCGGCGCUCUGGACCGAGACUGACGCUGAGGCGCGAAAGCGUGGGGAGCAAACAGGAUUAGAUACCCUGGUAGUCCACGCCGUAAACGAUGUGUGCUAGACGUUGGGGAGCUUAGCUCCUCGGUGUCGCAGCUAACGCUUUAAGCACACCGCCUGGGGAGUACGGCCGCAAGGUUAAA
rnacentral:rRNA from 1 species